rnacentral:rRNA from 1 species
GAUGAACGCUGGCGGCGUGCCUAAUACAUGCAAGUCGAGCGAACAGACGAGGAGCUUGCUCCUCUGACGUUAGCGGCGGACGGGUGAGUAACACGUGGAUAACCUACCUAUAAGACUGGGAUAACUUCGGGAAACCGGAGCUAAUACCGGAUAAUAUAUUGAACCGCAUGGUUCAAUAGUGAAAGACGGUUUUGCUGUCACUUAUAGAUGGAUCCGCGCCGCAUUAGCUAGUUGGUAAGGUAACGGCUUACCAAGGCAACGAUGCGUAGCCGACCUGAGAGGGUGAUCGGCCACACUGGAACUGAGACACGGUCCAGACUCCUACGGGAGGCAGCAGUAGGGAAUCUUCCGCAAUGGGCGAAAGCUUGACGGGGCAACGCCGCGUGAGUGAUGAAGGUCUUCGGAUCGUAAAACUCUGUUAUUAGGGAAGAACAAAUGUGUAAGUAACUAUGCACGUCUUGACGGUACCUAAUCAGAAAGCCACGGCUAACUACGUGC